GACGAACGCUGGCGGCAUGCCUAACACAUGCAAGUCGAACGGAGUAAAGAGCUUCGGUUUUUUACUUAGUGGCGGACGGGUGAGUAACGCGUGAGCAACCUGCCUUUCAGUGGGGGACAACAGUUGGAAACGACUGCUAAUACCGCAUAAUGUGUACGGAUCGCAUGGUCUGUACACCAAAGUUUUUAUCGCUGAAAGAUGGGCUCGCGUAUGAUUAGAUAGUUGGUGAGGUAACGGCACACCAAGUCGACGAUCAUUAGCCGGACUGAGAGGUUGAACGGCCACAUUGGGACUGAGACACGGCCCAGACUCCUACGGGAGGUAGCAGUGAGGAAUAUUGGGCAAUGGGCGCAAGCCUGACCCAGCAAUGCCGCGUGAAGGAUGAAGGUUUUCGGAUUGUAAACUUCUUUUGUCAAGGACGAUAGUGACGGUACUUGACGAAUAAGCCACGGCUAACUACGUGCCAGCAGCCGCCGUAA
rnacentral:rRNA from 1 species